UUUUUUUUUUUGGUUCUUUUUUUCGGAGCUGGGGACCGAACCCAGGGCCUUGCGCUUCCUAGGCAAGCGCUCUACCACUGAGCCAAAUCCCCAACCCCUUCUUUUUUUUUAAAUUAUUAUUUUUUAUUUAUUUAAUGUAUAUGAGUACACUGUCUCUGUCUUCAGACACACCAGAAAAGGGUGCCAGAUGCCAUUACAAAUGGUUGUGAGCCACCAUGUGGUUGCUGGGAAUUGAACUCAGGACCUCUGGAAGAGCAGUUAGUGCUCUUAACCACUGAACCAUCUCUCCAGCCCUACUUUGUCUUUCUUUAUGCCUUCCUGGGCCUAUAGUUUGCAAAUUUCCUUGUCUUCCCUAGGAGCUGCCUGUUAAGUCUUUCAGCUUCUCCUCACCCUUGUGGCUUCUGUGAUGGUGGAACCCUCCCUUUCUGGAGUCCCUGCUUGUUUCUCCCUUACCCUUAACUGAUCCACUUCUGAUCUACAUCAUAAGUGUCUCUCAGGAUCCUGGAGCCUGCCGUGCCCUUGGGGUGCUCACCACUGGACAUCAACUUUUUCUCAGCUCUGGCCUGCUACAUCCGUCUGGUUCUUUUUACUGAAGUACUAGUUCACUUUCCCCCUGCACUCUAGGCUGUCUCUCCUUCCAGCCCGUAGCCCCUCAGCUUCAUCUCUCUGCUCCCUCUUGGAGUUUAUAGGAACACCCCAACCCUCGCCCACACAGAGAAGCCCUAGCUCACAGUAACAAAAGGAUUUCAGACAGACUGGCUUUCAGACUCCGUUCUUACACUAGUGCUCUAGACCACAGGUCCUUAGGCGUUUAGCUUGGUUCUGAGGCCAGGCUGUUGCUGUUGGACUGAGCUAUGCUACUGGCACCCACAGUCUCCAAAAGCCAGUUUUGGGACUCUAAUGGAAAGCUGAGCCAAUUCAGUUGAAUCCCCAAGCUACAAUGACAGAUUUGGAGUUGGGUGGAAUCAAAGUCUGGAAAGUUUCAGAAUGCUAACCUUCAGAAUGCAGAUGAUUCUCUGGGUGAAGUGCCCAGAGUUCAAACACUAAGACUUGGGUUUAGGGGGCUGGGGAUUUAGCUCAGUGGUAGAGCGCUUGCUUAGCAAGCACAAGGCCCUGGGUUCGGCCCCCAGCUCUGAAAAAAAGAAAAAAAAAAAAAAAGAAAAAGAAGACUUGGGGUUAGCUCCUAGCAACCAUGGUAAAGCCAGGAGCGGCAGCACAUCUCUAACCCAAGUGUUGAGAGAGAGACAGGCAGCUGCCAGAUGCUGGGGGCCCACUGACCAGCCAGCCUAAUUAAAGCAGCGUUCUCCUGGUUCAGUGAGACCCUGUCUCAAGAAGUAAGGUAAGGGGGCUGGGGAUUUAGCUCAGUGGUAGAGCGCUUACCUAGGAAGCGCAAGGCCCUGGGUUCGGUCCCCAGCUCCGAAAAAAAGAACAAAAAAAAAAAAAAAGAAAAAGAAGUAAGGUAAGAAUGGUUGAAGAAGGCGCUGGAGAGAUGGUUAAGCAUUCUUCCAAAGGUCCUGGGGUUCAAUUUCCAGCAUCCACUUGGCAGCUCACAACUGUAACUCCAGCUCCAGAGGAUCUGACAGCCUCAUACAGACAUACAUGCAGGUAAAACACUAAUGCAGGGUUAAAAAAAAAAAGUUUGAGGAAGACAUCCAUGGUUAUUUGGGGCAUCCGUCAUGUAUCUGCACUGUGGUUUGGUCAUUUAUCUGCACAGGGGAGUGCACACAAUCAGCACAUAGAUAAGAAAAUCAUUCAGCCCAAAGCAUUUGGUAGGAGAUGCAGAUAAUACAGCAAAAAGGAACACUUUCACCUUAAAAAUGCAACACUGUGGGCCACAAGAUGAGUCAUCAGGUAAAGAUACUGACCACCAAGUCCGACAACCGGAAUUUGAUCCCAGGUACUACCACAUGGUGGCAGCAGAGAGCUGACUCUGACGUUGGUCCCCCCCGCCCUUUCCUUUUACUGUGCCUUGCACACACCCCACGAUAAAUAAAAAUAAAUAAACGGGGAAUGGCAGUGAUGGCACACACCUUUAAUAUCAGCACUCAGCAGACAGAGCCCCCACCCCCGCAAAAGAAAGAAAGAAAGAAAGAAAGAAAGCUGAGCAAGCCAGGGGAAGCAAGCCAGUAAGAAACGUCCCUCGUUGGUCUCUGCAUCAGCUCCUGCUUCCUGACCUGUGUGAGUUCCAGUACUGACUUCCUUUGGUGAUGAAUAGCAAUGUGGAAGUGUAAGCUGAAUAAACCCUUUCCUCCCCAA